CAGCGCCCUGGCCCCGGAGCGGUUUAGCCGCUGCCUUGUGUCGCGGCCGCGUGCCGGGCGAUGGCCGCCCAGACCCCCGGACCCCCGAUCGCCAGUCCCGGGGCUUCCCGCCCGCGCCUCGGUGGAGGGAGGCCCCGGAGGCGCCAUCGCUCGCGCCUGCCACCUGGACGCUGAAUAAACUGGGAAACAAUUAGGUGGCCGGGUGGGGAAGGUGCUGGGUGACUGCACUGCCAGGCGGCCGCGUGCCCCCGCGCUCGCAGGGGUUGGCGACUGGGGGCGGUUGGGAGUUCGUGUUUAGGGAGGAAGGUGAGAGGUGCGGGAUCUGCCCACGAGGGCAGUCGCUCUCGGAGAAUCGGGGAAUGGCUCUGUCAGGUCGCAGGCCCUCCUCCGCCUUUAUCCCCAUCACGCACAAAAAGAAUGGGCCUUGCAAGGGAUGUUUAUUAUGCACUUUUAAGUGACUAUUCAGAAAAGAGCAGGAGGCACAAUAAAAAAGGCUUCUGCCCCACCAAUUCCCUUCCCUUGAAGAAAAAAAGAAAGAGAAAGCCACCCACAAAGAGAGAAGAGAGGGAGAGAUGCCACACUGAAAAUACCAUUCACAAUAGAUGGGAACACCAAACGGCCACAGAGAUGAUACCAAAGACAUCAGUGGUGUCAAGCGAGCAGCAGGAAGGACAGAUGUUACCAGAGACAAGUAUCAGCCCAGAGAGAGCACCAGAGGAAUCCACACAACAAACUCUACUACCUAGCCCUUAUCUUCCAUUAGUUCCCUCAUAUAUUAAUCUUCCCACAAUUUGCCACCCUAGAAACUCAAGGUCCUUUUUCUCUGUCUUGUCACUUCUCUAAAAAUUUACUGUUCAUUUGUCAAGAUGCUACAUAAGCCCGAGUUCUAACCACUCUUCUGAGUU
rnacentral:lncRNA from 1 species